rnacentral:rRNA from 1 species
UCUGAAUAGGGCGCAUGAGUACGUGGUCGUAGACCCGAAACCAGGUGAUCUACCCAUGUCCAGGGUGAAGUU